AAAACCCCAAGUGCUGCGGCCUGCAGCAGCUUGAACAGUGCUUGCAGCAUUCCCCAAGAAUCCCUGCACAACAGCGUUAUCUAGAGUGCAGUGUGAUUUGGCAGGUCAAGACACGGCUAAGGGACUCUCCCGUUCUUUCCUCAUCCCAGUUGUGAGCUCCCACUGGAGAUUCACACAUCUGCACAGUAAACAGGAUCCAGGCACUGAAAGCUAACCAGAGAAUGAGAUUUCAUUUCAAGGCUGGCACUAGGAGACACUGCCAGAAGGGGGAGAUGCCUCUACGUCACCCCUUAGGUCAGACAGGAAGUGGAAGAUUAUUCAAACUACUCCAGAAUUUGAUGCCCUUCUUCACUCACAAAUGAACCUUUUGCAAUACCUCAAGAUAUCCAUUGCAGCAACAAAGGAGUAUAUGAAUCUUCCUAUUAAACCUUCUGAUACUACACGGAUGAUGGCUAUGUGGAGAUAAUUAGUUCCGUAAUGUAAAGUGGGUUCUACAGAAUCUUCUUUUCAACCUGUUUUGUAGCAUAAAUUACAGGUUCCCACUGCUGUUUCUUUGUCAAAGUAAACAGUGUGGGGUAAAAUGAGCAAUUCAAGUGCAGGAGGUAGUGAUAUUAAUAAUGCAGAAAAACUGGUUAGAACAUCUCCACGUGAAUCUAAUACUGGGUUAGAUGGGCUGUUUUGAACCUUUGCAACUCAGGAUAUAAUUGAAAGAGUAAGUAGAAUAAUGGAAGUUGUAAAAUCAUAUUGGUUUGUUUUUUUGUUUUGUUUUGUGUGGGGUUUUUUGGUCAGUUUGUUGUAUGUGUGUUUGUUUGUUUGAUGGGAAGAGGAGCAGGAAAGAAGUGAUUUUUAAAUUAUAUAAUAACUUCCAAUGAACAAACCAUCACUGCUACCAUUUCUGAUGGAUGCAGGUGAACUCAGAGAACUGAGGGAGAUACACACAGUGCUUCCACAAAGUAGUUAAUUUAGCAAUAAACAUACCAGAUGCUUUAUUCAUAUCAUGCAAGCCUUGCUACACUUAGGGCAAAACAAAAUGACCCAGCAGCAGCUUGGAGAGCAGCUCUGUCAGACCUCACAUACAGCACGUGAGUUAGCUUCCUGUACUACUACCAGCAGUCAGUUUUCAUCAUCCACCAACAAACCCACUGGAAAACAGCAGGUCUUAUUUGGGGAAAAAAGCAGAGCAGGUGUCAUGUUGGAAGGAGCCUUGUGAGACAAAUUGGUGAUGCAAAAGCGGAUGGAAGAAGACUAAUAUCCCAGUUACAAAAAGCUAUUUAGUAGAAACUUCCAAGUAAUGAUAUAAACUACUAGAUAACAUGCUUGAGCCAAAGGACGUAUUCUCCUCAUUUGCAGUCCUGUGUCAGGCACCUAUCACUCACCAAAUCCAACUCUGUGGCAGAUGCGUUGUUGCCACUUUUGCAAUGGUAUGAACACAAUAUUUUGCAUGCUGCCGAGGAAAAAGCCAAACAAACUGGAAAGGAGAAAGAAAAUAUGGUGAAAGGGUUUGAACUUCCAAGAAGCUGGGAGGAGUUACAUGAUGAAGUGAAUUUGAUUUAAUAGUUCAAUUCUAAGUAUUGCAGCAGGGCUACUUUCUUCUUUAACAUGUUGCUUCUUGAUAUGGGUGAGAAAUUUUCACCAGAACGUUUCUUGUUUGCUCAGCUGUUGCUUAGUGUGUGAAAAAUGCUGUAACAGAAAGCCCAGGGAAGGGAAAAUGAUCCUAAAACCUGAUAAUUAGCAGUCAGGGAAAACAUUGCAGCCAUUUCCUUCAUUACCUCCCUCCCUGCAAUCUCAGUCUCUAGGACAAUAAUUUUCAUCUUCUGCUCUCUAAUGCUGUUCCAUAGAUGAAAAAACUUUCCCUUUGUACCUUGAAAAUUAACAAAGCCUCUUCAGCUUUCCGUAAAGAUAACAGAGGUGAGGGCCUAUGCAAGAUAUUCCUGGACAUAAAAAAGCAAAUCUACCACUGGGGCAACAUGUUCCUUGUAGUUUUGAAAGGGUACUGUUCUUCCCAGCACUUCUAAAUACAACUUCCAUGAAUUAAUCCAGUGGUGACUUGUUCAAGUUUUCAUUCUUCAUGUUAUUGUGAAAUCAGUCCUUGCAGUAAAGACAGACAGUUUUGAUAAACUGGCUUUUUUUUUUUUUUUUUUUGUCAAGUGUUCCUAAACUUUUGAAAUCUCCUAAGCAUCAAACAUCUGGUCCUUUUAUUGCUGUACUCACUCCCACUUAAGCUUAUGCCCUUCCAACAGGCUCUUCCCUCUGAGAGAUUGACCUUUUCUCUAAGUCUCUUGCAUCUUCACCUUCUAUUCUUCCCCAUGAAAAGUGGGAAUUAAGAGUCAGGUAGUACUUAAGCUCUAGGUCAGAAAACGUUUUGGUAUCAUUUUUUUUUUUUUUUUUUGCAUUUCAACUCAUCGGAAACAUAAUUUACUCAGAUUCAUCAAAAUCUGAAAUGAAGAUAUUCCUGGCUAUUAUUACAUUUAGCAAGAUGAAAAAUCCAUUGCUCAUGCAGUUGUUUGUGACUUUCUUAACAGAUUUCAGCUAACUAUCUUCUGUAACACAUUAUUACUUCUUACAGGCUGUUUCUGCAGGAACAUUGAUCAGAAAUAGCUCAACACUAACCUCCAAGUUGCCCACAUCUAUUCAUUUGCAAAGCAUUGCACAACUCAUGACAACACAGUGAACUUCUAACCUACUUCACUGAGGUCCCCAGUCUCGUUCUUCUACAUUUCAUUGUGGGAUUCCUGGUAGCAAUCACUGUUGGCUGUUGAGAAAUGCAAGGUAUUUUGGAACACAUACUCUCAAACACAUAAGAGCCUUAUUUCAUCAUCUUCAAUGGUGGAAGCUGCCUGAGAUGCCUUGCCCUGUACUACUUUUCUUGUGCUACCAAAGCCCCUGUGGGUAGGAUUCUCUUGAAGAUUGUACCAAACCAUUAAUCACACUGUGUUGUAUCUUUCAUUUUGUAGCACAGUAGAAAUGUAAAUCAAAAGAUUCAAUUGUUUUUAUAAUAAGUGAUAGACUGGUCACAAACAUUUUGAUCUAUAUCAGCUGUAGCUAGAAAAAAAAAAACGUGAUAUACACCUGACAUUCAGGUGGAUAUGAUUAUGAUUCAGCCUAGUCAGGACUAUUUAGACCACAGUUAUUUAAUCCAAGACACCUAUUAACUACUUCUGAAAAACAGACAGGUAGAGAGGGCUGUAAAAUACAUUUGAAGGCUUUUUGCAAAAAAAAGCUUGGGUCCUUCAGCAGUUUCAAAAUUUAGAUAAUUUUAAGCCCCAACCAUGAAGUAUGUCCACGUGGCACAACACAACGCAGUGCAGAGACAAGGGAAUGCAGUUAAACUAGUUGAAAGCAGUGCUGUGCAUUUUUCAAGAAGCCAGUGGAGGUUUUGGUGUGGAAACGGCACUAAAAAGAGAAAUAGUAAUCCAAAAGCUGAGGGAAUUACUGAACACAUAGAUAUAAGCUUUCAAAAAGCAUCAAGCUCCACAUCUUUAUGUCCUAUUUCUGCAAUAUCUGAAUUGCAUCAGUAAGUAAUCAAACAAGCUUUGUCUCUCACACAUCGUUUAGUAACAUACACAUUGUAGGUGCUAGAAUGUUCUACAAUUAGCAGAAACUGUUCAGCAGAUAAUAUCAGCUAUGCCUUACUAUGCAGACAUUGAUACUAUCUGUUGCUUCACUGUAAGCUAAUGCAAUCUUGCUAGCCAUCACAUUAAACUGCAGUUAUUUAUUCUAGAAGAAUAUGGUCCUUUCAAAGAGAAUAAAACUUCAGACUGCGGAAACAAAGCAAGACAAAAAACUUCUGUUGCUUGGUAUUCCAGACUCAAAUACAGAAAAAAAAAUAUUUUAAAAGCAGGUGUGUUUAUUAGACAUUCUUGCAAGAGUGUUUUGUAUGUAUCUUUGUACUCUGAUUUCACCACCUGUUUUCAGACCACUAAAAGUAAUGCAUGCCAGAGUGUCCUUGGACUGAACUCCUGAAUCAAUGUGAGUUUUGUCAUACUGGGAAUGGAAACUUCCAAGGAGCUGGUUAAAAUGCUACUAGUUUUACUACAUGAUACUAUUUUCUCUGAGUCACCUCCUGAAUAUUUUACCAAGCCUGGUGUAACCAGACUUUCCAGCUUGGCUAGGACAUCCCUACAAUAUCCCAGUAUCCAGACAGCCCUACAACAUCCCAGUAUCCAGAAGAUUUAUAUACAUAUAUUUACAUACAUACAUAUUUAUUUAUUUAUUUAUUCCCAGCUUACAUAGAGGAAACAGGAUAUCCCUGCUCCCACCUUAAGCCAUGCCUAAGAACGCACUCUUCUGCAGCAUGGCAGCAGGAGACAGGGACUCUGGCACAGGGUUGUGAUAUGAUACAGGCAUAGAUUUUACUACGAAACAAGGAAAACUGUGUAUAUUCUGUAUUGCAUAAAACUUUGGUUAGUAUGACGAGCUUAUAUUCAGCCAAGUAACCUGACACAGGCCCUACACUGAUGACAUAACACAUGCUUUGUUUUCUUUGUACUGGUUUCUAUGCUGUAUGUGUAAACCAGAAAAAUAUUUAAACACUUUUAACUAACAACAAUAGUGGUAGAUAGAGCAGCAUAAGCAGGGAACAAAAGUUCCUUCCUAGCUGCCUGAGUUUUCUCAUUGCGGGUAUGAACCAUCAAACAGCCCUUCUCUUGGCUGACAAUCCUAGCAGACAUGCUCACAAUUAAAAUUUGAUGACACUUUUGGAAGAAACAUGACCACUAAUAAAUUUCAGUACAGGUAACUAAAUUCUGCUCAUCCAAGAUCCCCCUCUCCAAUAUGAACUAGGUUCAAUUAAUAACAAAGGAAAAACAUGUCUAGUAUCAAGAAUGGCUUAAGUUUUAGCUGAAUCACAGCAGUCCAUCAUGAUGACUGGUUUAAAUUAUUAACUUCACAACUAUUUGAUAGAAUGAGAUAAAAGUCAUCAGUUAGACUUCUGUGAAAUUACCUAACCACACAGUUCUUAAAUACUUCCUUAAUUGUUUCCCAAGGUCUUCUCUGUUACUGAGAAGAUUGUAAACCUUAUGCUCAAACCUACAGAUGCUAAGAAAGAAGAUAUUGCCUGCCAUCUUGUGGACAUCAGAAGAACAUGAUCAUUUUUUUCUGAAAAGAUGUAUUCAUUAGAAAACACAACAAAACAAACCCCACAAAUAUGUAUGUCCUUAAAUACAAAUUAUAACCAGAUGCAUAAUUCAUUACUAUCAGGAAAAAAUAUAUUUUGGAAAAUAUAA